rnacentral:lncRNA from 1 species
UGAGAGAUAUAAAGCAUAAACUGUGAAAAGCAUGCUUGAAAGCCAUCUCAGAUAUUUUUUUCCUUCCUUCCAGGAGCUUGAAUGUCCAAACUAUCCGGAGCAGAUGACAUGGUGUUCUCGAAAUGAGAUCUCCAGAACAGAGGCUUCUCAAUAUCUUUCUCCAAAGAUUAAAGAACCGCUGUGAUGUUCAUUUGGCAUUUGCUCUUCCCCGGAGAGCCUAGGAGGUAACACUUAUAAAGUAAAUGAUAAUUUCCUGUAUCUCUACUGGUUUUUGAUCCUAUUCCUUGGGGGUCAGUAAAACACAUGGUUAAAUUGAUUUUCUGAGGCCCCUAAACCUAAAGUCUUUGUUUUUCAAAGAAUCCUUUGAUGCUGUUGUGGCUUAUGAAUGCUAAAUGGCAUUCUUGAUCUAUGCCAGUAUUCAUGCCUGGUCAGAUUAUCAUUAACUUUCACCUUUAUUGCAAACUUUCACAGAAAGCCACAUGGAGGUGAUACAUCAAUUUGAAAAUAGUUAAUUAGCAGCCUGCUUCUCUUUGCAGUUCUCUCCAGCAAGGUCAUACACAGUUAACAGAUAUAUUCCCAUGGCACUAAGUCACCAUAAAAUUUAGUAUGACAAUUCUAUUUCACUGUGGGCAUUCAUUUUUCCCUUAAUCUGCUCAAAAUGAAAAAUGUGUGUGAGACAUCAGAUAUUCAGUACAUUAAGUGAAUAGUAAGGUACAUGAUUUAGAUAUUGUGGGGAAUAUACUAAGAAACACUUUUAGCCCUCCUGCAACUAAAACACAAUAUGGAG